AAGUUACAUGCUAUCUAGCUGAGCACAUGCCCAAGUUCCUUCUUGAAGCCAACAGCUACACGGAUGGAGAUCUAUAGUCUGCACAAGCGUAUCUCGAUGCAGACAGUGCUCUUCUAACCGAUGAAGGUCAAGACGAAUUGAAGAAACUAAUGAAGAGCAACAACGGCCAAGAAAAUAGCUGCAGUGAAUCUGAACAAGAACGAGUCGAGGCCGCCGAGCUGCUAUAGGGAGCCGAUAUGCCACUGGAGGAUCUCUUAGCGAAAUACGGAUGUGCAGGAAGAGUAGAAGAUACGGAUAGUAAAGAUAGUGGUGAUGGUCGUUCUUCGGAGGAAGGCGAUGAUAAGGAAGAUGAGGAUGGAGACAAGGAAUCUGAUAGUUAAGACAAGAAAACCAAGCUAUUGGUCAUCUGAAAUCAAUAGCUGCAGAUGCAGGACUGAAUGUCAACAUUGAAGAACUGGAAGAUGGAGGCUCAAGUUCGGGGACACAGAGAAAGAAACGUAAACCUACAAGAGUGACACGCACAACAACAAGAACAGUACGAGCUGUAGAUGAUGUUGGUUUAGGCAAUCUUGACCAAGAAGAAUCGAGAGACGAGAGUGGCAUCGAAUACGAUGAAGAGACAGUCAUUCCCGAGAAUCCUGAAGAGUCUGGUUCGUCAUCAAGCGACGAGGAAGAGGAAGACUCACAAUUAAAGACACCCAUGAAAGAGUGUGGGUUUGAAAGUGGCUCUAUAGCUGUGAUAGCUUUGCUUCGAGGACGAGAGCUUUAUGUUUCGAGUGCUGGUGACUCUCGGUGUGUCAUGUGCUGUAGAGGAGAGACGGUCGCUCUGAGUGUUGAUCAUAAGCCGGAAGAUGAGAAGGAAUUGAAGAGGAUUACUGAAGUGGUUGGGAUGGUGGAUCCCACAGGGAGAGUCAACAGAGGGUUGAAUUUGUCACGAGCUAU